UGGAUUUCAAGUUGAAUUGAUUCGAUUUCGAUAUAAUUUUCAAUCGGCUAUAGCCCUAACAAUUUCCCCAUCUGCACAGCCUUCAGAUGGAAGAAAUAAUGCUCACCAUCAAUUCCCCUCAAAUUAAGGUAUUCCAGUUCACUAAAUUAGGCUUAAUAUCCACCAUUUGCAUUUGUUUUACCAAAACAAAUCCUUCCUUAACCAAAUCAUGCCGAGCAUAACCUAAAACCCUGGCAUUUUAUGCCACCAAGUCUUUCCCUUCCAUCUCAUCAAACACUCGCCGCCUGCAUCUAGAAUAAAUAUCAAUUAAUGCACUAAUGACAAAAACA
rnacentral:misc_RNA from 1 species